rnacentral:sRNA from 1 species
GACGUGGUGAACACGCACCCGGGGCUGUCGUUCCUGAAGGAGGCGUCCGAGUUCCACUCGCGCUACAUCACCACGGUCAUCCAGCGGAUCUUCUACGCCGUGAACCGGUCCUGGUCCGGCAGGAUCACCUGCGCCGAGCUGCGGAAGAGCUCCUUCCUGCAGAAUGUGGCGCUGCUGGAGGAGGAGGAGGACAUCAACCAGCUGACCGAAUUCUUCUCGUACGAGCAUUUCUACGUCAUCUACUGCAAGUUCUGGGAGCUGGACACGGACCACGACCUGCUCAUCGACGCGGACGACCUGGCGCGGCACAAUGACCACGCCAUUUCUACCAAGAUGAUAGACAGGAUCUUCUCAGGAGCAGUCACACGGUACGUACCGCUCAGGCGCCUGACGGCAGCCAUUGCCCCUGCAAGGACCCCGGUCCCCCUCCUCAUCGUUGCCUGACAUGAGCUUUUUGUGUCCCGACAGCGAGUGGUUGUCACCCCAGGCCCUGGCGAGGGGGGCACGUGUCUCUGUCACGUGAAUCCCUAGUUGGGGGGGGGGUGGCACAAGACUGUCACGCGAGGUCUGAGGAAGGGUGUGGCCCAGGCCCCAGGUCGGGGGUUCUUGUCGGGCGCUGGGCCUGAGUGAGCAGUAACGAAGGUGCACUCCUGACCCCGCCUGGAUCUGGGGAAAACCCUCUGGCCACGGGGCCUCCACCUCCUCCCCGGAGGGGCAGGAGGAGGGGCAGGAGGAGGGCAGGAGGAGGGCCGGGCCCGGGGGGCUCCCCUCACCGAGGCGCGUGGACAGGGGCUCCUUUCCUGUGAAGCUCUCCCUGACAUGCAUUUUCGUCUCUCCAUCCUGGCUUUGGAUCUAGAGGCAGAAAAGUGCAGAAGGAAGGGAAGAUCAGCUAUGCCGACUUUGUCUGGUUUUGAUCUCUGAGGAAGACAAAAAAACACCGACCAGCAUCGAGUACUGGUUCCGCUGCAUGGACCUGGACGGGGACGGCGCCCUGUCCAUGUUCGAGCUCGAGUACUUCUACGAGGAGCAGUGCCGAAGGCUGGACAGCAUGGCCAUCGAGGCCCUGCCCUUCCAGGACUGCCUCUGCCAGAUGCUGGACCUGGUCAAGCCGAGGACUGAAGGGAAGAUCACGCUGCAGGACCUGAAGCGCUGCAAGCUGGCCAACGUCUUCUUCGACACCUUCUUCAACAUCGAGAAGUACCUCGACCACGAGCAGAAAGAGCAGAUCUCCCUGCUCAGGGUGAGUGCGGCGGGCACGCGGGCCGGGCCGCGCCACGCCGUGUAUGUAACCCGUGUGCUUCCUCCAGGACGGUGACGGCGGCGGCCCCGAGCUCUCGGACUGGGAGAAGUACGCGGCCGAGGAGUACGACAUCCUAGUGGCCGAGGACACCGCGGGAGAGCCCUGGGAGGACGGGUGAGUGGGGGACGGGUGAGUGGGGGGACGGGUGAGUGUGGGGGACGGGUGAGUGUGGGGGACGGGUGAGUGUGGGGACGGGUGAGUGUGCAGCCGGGGGAUGCGGGGCCAGUCAGGUGGGGUGCACGGACACAGAGGGGCGGGGUGAGACCUGACACGGGGCCGGUGAGGUAAGGACAGCCGAUGACAGGGCCGGGCCUCGGUGCAGUCUGCCCGUCAUUCCCCGCGUGGGGUUCUGUGAUCCUGGGCGUGAGGCUUUGCACAUCAGGCCCAGCACGGGGAAGCCGAGUCGAGACAUGUUUUGCCGACGACGUCUGUCCUUAUCCCACGGCUGGCACCUGCUGGGCAGGCUGCAGGGCCCGUGGCCAUUCCAGCCCCCGCUUCGGCCUUCCAGCCUCGGAGGCUCCGAGAGGCCCUGGGCUGGUUGCUUUGUCACGGAGCGUGAGGGUUCUUUGUGUCUUCAGGAUACAAACCCUUUAUUUGCGACGUGUUCGCCUUUUUCCCAGUUUGUGACGUGUGUUUUCACCCCCUCUUCACGUGGUGUUUCAGAGAUGUUCUGAAUUUGGAGGAGGAGACACUGACUGGUUAUUUUUACAGCAGUGUUUCUGGUGUCAUAUCUAAGAAUUCAUUUCUGAAUCCAAAGCCACAAAGAUUUUCCUCUGCGAUGUUUUGCGUUUUGGUCUGAGGUCCGCUUGAGUAACCUUCCCUGUGGGGUGUGAAGCUCGGAUUGAGGUUCCCCUUGUGGUAUGUGGGUGUCCGGGUGUCCGACUGUCCCAGCAUCAGCUUUGCAGGCCGCAGCGUUGCCUCGGCGUCGUGACUGUGCCGUGUGCGGGCUCCGUUCCGGAACCUUUCUCCGUCCCACUGCUGCACGCGUCUGUCCGUUCCCGCGGCAGAGCUGGCUGCGGUGAGAAGCCUCCGACUUGGACGCUGUGUGGAACUGUCGGGGCCAUUCUGGUGUUGGGCUGCCUGUGUGUGAAUCUUAGACUCAGCCCGUCCUUGCUGUGCCGUCCUGUGGGAACGUGUGUUGGACUCUGACGUGGUGGCGAGCGCUGGUCCCGUGACCACGUGGACUGUGGCCCCCACCGGCCUCCCGUGGUGCACGCUGGAGCGAUGUGGUCACUUUUGCCAUCCUGUGCUGAGCUUCUCAGUUCUGCUUCUGUCCCGUGCUACGUUGGCUAUUCUGGUUUCUUUGCCUUUGAAAACACAUAAGAAUAAGCUCCUUCUGGCCGGGCGCGGUGCCUCACGCCUGUCAUCCCAGCACUUUGGGAGGCCGAGGCGGGUGGAUCACGAGGUCAGGAGAUCGAGACCAUCCUGGCCAACAUGGUGAAACCCCGUCUCUACUAAACAAAAAAAAAUUAGCCAGGCGUGGUGGUGGGCGCCUGUAGUCCCAGCUACUCGGGAGGCUGAGGCAGGAGAAUGGCGUGAAUCUGGGAGGUGGAGCUUGCAGUGAGCCGAGAUCGCGCCACCACACUCCAGCCUGGGUGACAGAGCGAGACUCCGUCUCAAAAAAAAAAAGCCAGGGAUGGUGGCACACGUCUGUAAUCCCAGCUACUCGGGAGGUGGAGGUUGCAGUGAGCCAAGAUCGCGCCAGUGCACUCCAGCCUGGGCAAUGAGAGCGAAACUCCAUUUCCAAAACAAAAACAAAAACAAAAAAUCUGAACGUUUGAGUGAGAUCUCGCCCAGUGAAUGGAUCCCUGUGGGCCCAGCUGCCGUCUUCAUAGCCGCGGGAGGCCCAGUCCACGGGCGCCGUCCGUGUCUCUCGGCAGGAUUUUUGUAGCUUUCCGUGUACGCUUGAUGAGAAUGUUGUGAGACUUCUGAGUGUUUCCUGACGUUUUCCUGUCGUCAACGGUGCUUUUAAGGUUCCCGUUUCCAGUUGUUUGUUGGUAGCAUAUAGAAUUUAUUGACCUUGUGUUUUGCACCUUCAUGAAACGCACUUACUGGAUCUCAAAGCUCUGUCGGUUCUUUGGGGUUUUCUGUGUGGACAGGCCAUGUCUGUCAGUGGGUCCGUCUCUCGUCUUCCUUUUCACCUCUCUGUGUACGUUACUUCCUUUCUCUUGCCCGCUGCACGGCCUGGAACCCGCAGGGAGAUGUGGUGGAUGUCAGGGCAGACCACGGCCAGCCUUGAGUGAGCCCUGCUGGUUUGUGUGCCGUCCUCGUUCCCAGUCCUGGGGGACGUCUCCCCUCACGCAGUGGUAAGCACACUCAUUGGCGGGGAUCUUCUCCCUGUUCCUGGUCUGCGGGGGCUUUCUCACAGUGAGGGCCGAAUUUCUCAGAUGCUUUCGCUCCGUGGUUCCUCUGUGUGUCCAUACAGUGAGUUACACCGAGUCAUUUUCAGCCAGCCUCGUGUUCCCAGGAUAGAUCUCGCCGAGUCAUAUGUUAUCCUCACAUAUUACUGGAUUCUCUUUGCAGAGAUUAUCUGGAGUAUUUUAUUAUUUUUUUGGAGGCAGGGUCUGGCUGUGUCACGCAGGCUGGAGGGCAUUGGCGCAAUCUCAGCUCGCUGCAGCCUCCACCUGCUGGGCUUAAGGAAUCCUCGCACCUGAGCCCCCCGAGUGGCUGAGAUUACAGGCACGCACCACCACACCCGGCUACUUUUCUGUAUUUUUUUUAGAGAUGGGGUUUCGCCGUGUUGCCUAGGUUGGUCUCGGAUGCCUGAGCUCGAGGGUUCUCCCCGCCUCGGUCCCCCAACGUGCUGGAAUUACAGGCGUGAGCCCCCGCCCAGCCUUGAGUGAGCUUUGCGGGUUUGUGUGUUUCAGAAACUUGCCCGUUCCCAUCAGUGGGUUAUCGUUGGUAUUUCCUGUUCGUGACUCUGAUGUCUGCAGAAUCCAGUGAUAGCAUCUCUCACGCUCCUGAUACUGACUUUGUGUGUGAUCAGUGAGGCGAGGGGCUGACAAGGUUCACUCCUCUUCCCAGGGAACCACGGGUGUUUCUCCCCUUUGUUCUGCUGUUUUCCUUGAGUAUCUUCAGGCAGCGACGUGGGCCAUGGACACCACAGCCCAUGGCCUUCUCAUUUUGGUGCAGCUCAAAAUACUUUCUGGUUACCGUUGGGUUCCCGACCCAUGGGUUCCAUGGACGUGCAUUUUAAUCCCUGCUACCCCAUCAGCCGCCCCGUCCGAUUCCUGCCAAGCAGCCCAGGGCCCCCACGGCCCACCCCCACGGCCGUCUGUCCUGUGUGUCCGUCCUCCUCGUGGUCAUUGUGUGUGCACCGUGGCUCUGACCUGGCAGCCAACCUCUGGGUCCCCACAACUUCCCAGUCUCUGCCUUCUCCUGUCGGACACCCUAAGGCAGCGUGGCCCCCAGACCUAGCCUGGAUGGGUGUGCGCCUGUCCCCACCACCAUCUGUCACCUCUGCUCCCCACCUGACCAGAGUCCACCCCCACCGCUGCCCAGCUUUGUGUCUGCUGCACAGCCAGCAGCAUGCUGGGGUCGACUGCCUUCACCAUGUCCACACCUGCUCCGGCAGUGGGAGCUCAGGUCCGUGGGGGUGACCAUGGGGAGGUCAGUGCCGGGCUGUGGGGGGCAUCUUGGAAAGCAGAGGUGUCCCCACAGGAUCUCUGAGAGUCUGUGUGGUCUGUGGCCGCGCUGGGUUCCCCGGAGCAGCGCCCGAUGUCACUGCGGAGACCUUAAGGGAAGGCGCGCGUCCAGUCCUCGCACUGCUGCGUGUUCUGGUCAGAACGGAAGUGGUGGCCUCCACUAGGAGCUUCUGUGCUUUGGGAGAAUGUGUCUAAACUGUGGUCCCGUGUGGACACCAUGACCCAAUUGUGUAAACACAGGCCCCGUGCAGCUCGGAGGCUGCCCUCUGAGAGUCGCCGUCAUAUCGCUUUGGGGAAAAGGCGCGCCCGCCUGGGUCCUCUGUGUGUAGCUCACGCCUGGGGCUCCGUCCCAUCCUGGGUGGGUUUUCACCUGCACCGCAGGCCCCUACCCCGGGAGCAUUCGUGGAGCCGGCGUCCUCAGCCAGGAGCGCGUUGCUGGCUCAGCGGCUGGAGCUUGAGGUCGGCUCAGGGGACUGUCUCGUGCUGGAGGUUGGCCGCCGAGCAGCCUGCAUUUCCCGGAAAACAUGACCCGCUCCGUGCCGCUGGCCACGUCUUCACCAUCCCCUCGUUGCAGGUUCGAGGCCGAGCUCAGCCCUGUGGAGCAGAAGCUGAGUGCGCUGCGGUCCCCGCUGGCCCAGAGGCCCUUCUUCGAGGCGCCCUCACCACUGGGCGCCGUGGACCUGUACGAGUACGCGUGCGGGGACGAGGCCCUGGAGCCACUGUGACACCGCCCGCGAGAACGCCGCCGCGGGGCCGCUCCCCACGUGCCACCACCGGGACGCCGCGGCUCGUGUAAAAACUGCUGUGGAAAAUGAGUGCGUGUGUACGGAAUGAUAAAUUUUUAUUUAUUCAC